rnacentral:rRNA from 1 species
GCUACGGGAGGCAGCAGUGAGGAAUAUUGGUCAAUGGACGAGAGUCUGAACCAGCCAAGUAGCGUGAAGGAUGACUGCCCUAUGGGUUGUAAACUUCUUUUAUAAAGGAAUAAAACGAGGCACGUGUGCCUUUUUGCAUGUACUUUAUGAAUAAGGAUCGGCUAACUCCGUGCCAGCAGCCGCGGUAAUACGGAGGAUCCGAGCGUUAUCCGGAUUUAUUGGGUUUAAAGGGAGCGUAGAUGGGUUGUUAAGUCAGUUGUGAAAGUUUGCGGCUCAACCGUAAAAUUGCAAUUGAUACUGGCAGUCUUGAGUACAGUUGAGGUAGGCGGAAUUCGUGGUGUAGCGGUGAAAUGCUUAGAUAUCACGAAGAACUCCGAUUGCGAAGGCAGCUUACUAAACUGCCACUGACAUUGAUGCUCGAAAGUGUGGGUAUCAAACAGGAUUAGAUACCCGGGUAGUC